GAUAAUUUAGUGAAAUUCACGUCAUUAUUUCAUGAUGGAAAUGUUAUUGUAUCUA
rnacentral:tRNA from 1 species